UCGUUCUUUUUUAUUCCAGAAAUCGAAAAAAUGUAAAUAUAUAUAUGAUAUAAAGCAAAUAUAAAUACGAUAAAUAAUGAGAUCAUAAUCGAAUAUAUUCAUUGUAAUUUAACAUCAUGUUUUUUUGUGUCCUCAAUUACACGAACAAGAUGAGUGAUUGAACCAUAUUACAAUAUUUGUAACAAAUAUGUUACAAGUUAAUCUGCUUGUAGUAAAUUUUAAUCCAAUAAAAUAUUCACUUUUUAAUCGUAUCACACGUGCCUCAAUACAUAUGAUCAUACAUGUAAAUCCAUUAUUAUCGACAGUAUUAAUUUUUGAAUAUUACGUCAAAUAUGAUGUAUGCUUAAGGUGUGAUCUUUGACAUAAGUUCAAUUAUUAAUCAAGUCUCGAUACAAUGAAAUCACGAAAAAACAAUAAUCAUCAAUUGUUUAUUCCAUUUUUAAACGUGCUGAUAAAAUAUAGACUGCGUAUUGCAAAUUUAUAUAAAUUGUACGGAAAAUUACUUAUGUUCAAAGAUAUUUCGCACUUUUGGUAUUAAAUAUUUAUUAGGAUAUUCGUUCUAAAGAUUGUUUCAAUAGUGAUGACUUUUCACCUUUUUGCAAUUACGAUUUUAUUUAUUUAUGGGGGAAAAAACAUGAAAGAAAAUUGUAAUUUCUCGUUUUCGUUUAUAAAUUUCUUUCGAAAUAAAUAUAUGUGUUACUUUUAACUUAUAAAUAAUUUUAUAUUAUUAUUUAUAAUUUAGAGUACUACUUUAUGAGUGAACGAUAUUUUUCUUAACAAAUAUUGUGGAAUUGAUGAUGAAACGACCUAUAUAGAUAAUAUAACCCGCUUAUUAAUAUAUGCGUAUCACCUUUUGCACUCUGUGAAUAAUAUGCGACAAUGGAAUAAGAAACGUUUAACGAGGAAGGGGAAAAAAGUUUACAAGUCAAAUUCUAUCUCAAGACAUAUAAUUUUUUCAUUGAAAACUUAAUGAGCGUUUCUUUGCGUGUUUCUCACACGUCGAAGAUUUCUCGAGAUGAAAUAAAUCUAUUAAAAUAUCAUCAAAACAUAUCUUGCAACGUCAUAUAAUAAAAUGAGACAAUUCUGUACUGUCUAUUUCUCGAAUUUGUUCAAUAAUCAAAACUUUUAAAUAAUCUUAAAGGAAUUUUUUAUAGAUAUUUCACACGUAUAAAAUUAUUCAAAAAGGAACGAAAGAGAAAAUUAUAUAUAAAAGAAACAGAAAACUAUUUAUAAAAUUUUCAGGGAGGAAAAAUAGAGAAAAUUGGAAGAAAAGAAAUGAAUACUCGAUUGAAAAAUAUUGUUCAUCGUAUCAGGUAAUAUUGAUAGCGCAGAAUUACGCGUGGGCCGAAUAACAGAUGCGCAAAAUCGUUCGAAAUAGAAACUCGUAAGAGAAUAUACAUUCAUAAUAGCGACUUUAAUAUCCCAUUAAAUGCAAACUUCACGAUAAGAAUCUUCAUCAUCGAUCAAUAGAUGGAAAAAAAAAGAGAAAAAAAAAGAAAAAAUAACAACAACAACGAAGAGUAAUACAAAGAAUGACAAAAAUGAAACUUAAUUUCUCAUUUUUUAUCCUAUCAAUGAACGUUUCGUUAAUCUCUAAAUCAUGGAUAAAAGAAAAAAAAUGAAAUGACCAUAUUUUCUUGAAUCUCGAGGCGCGUCUUUAAAGCGGACGGCAUAUGCAGAUUACGGAGAUUAAUGGACAAUCGUCAACGUAUCUGGUGUGCGUGGCUGGCAGGCAAACAAGAUUUUUUUUCCAUUUCAUGGAAAAUAACAGAUAAUCAUGGUCAAAUGUUUCUUGUGGCCUACGUGAUCCUCCUAGAUCACGUACACUAAAUCUGAAGCAAAGCGGAUUUUAAGAUUAAAAUUGUCCAAAAGUAAUUGUAUUGAAGACUCGAACAUAAAUUACGAGUUCAGAGUUAUUUAUUAUAUAUAAUUUAAGGGAUUUCUUUAAAUUCAGAGCGUCAUAAAACGAUCAUCAAAAUUACUUUUUUUUUUAACCAACGAAUAAAAUAAACUUUUAUUAUGAAAUUUUUACAUACAAAUUAUUUGAAAACUUUUACGAUUAAUAUGAUCGAUCAAAUAUCAAAGAUGCGUUAUAUUUAUUAAAGAAAAUCUAAAGAGAAAAAUCUAAGAUUAUCCACAGAUUCUUAUAAAAAUUUAGAAAUCGUACGUAUUUAAAUAAAUAAUGUUUGAUAUUUGAUAUUAGAUUGAUAUUAAGGUGAAUAUCGAUGAACAAAUUUAUUAGAUACUUUUUAAUAUUUGAACAAUUUAUUAAAGAUAGAGUUCAGAGGUCAUGGCAUUUAUGAUCUUAGGAGGGGAUAAACAUUUUAUCCUUGGAAUGACUGCGAUAUUGAAAUAUUGAAAUAUUCCUUACAGAAGGGAUGAGCAACGUAAAUAAUGGAAGUUUUUAAAAAUUUACUCUGGCAAUCAUCUUGAUUAUCUUGUUUAUCCUUAAUCAUCGGUUCAUUGUCAGUUGUGUUUUUCAAGCGAUAUGUUUAGAUAACAUAUGCAAAACAUAUGUAUGCGAUGAGAAAAAAGAUUUAAAUUAUAAUUGACAUAAUUCUUCACAUUAUGAUAAUAUCAAUCGAUAUAAUUUAUAUACACAAAUUGAUUUGAAUUUCAUUCUUGGCUUAUUAUUAUUAAAUUAAUACAACUUCUAGUUAAAAGUUUAAAAGUAAUAAUAUGUUUUAUAAAAUCCAAGCGUUUUAAAAAAUAAUGAAAUUACUAUUGAUAUUUAUAAUAUUAAUUUCGAAUUGAUAUCAAAAUUAAAUUUAUAAGUAUAAGAAGAAAAAAAAUAGUGAUUUCAAAUUUCUGAUGAUUUCAAUCGAUAAUCAAUUAAAACCGAUAUAAUCGAAAUAAUAAUCUAGAUCUACAAUAAUCUAGAAUUCCAUCAAGAAUUUUUUUAGAGAAAAAAAAAAAAUUCGAUAAAGUGAUUGUUAAUUAACUUGGUUAAAUUUUUAUUAGCGAAAUAAAUCAGUUUCUAAAAAUUCACUGUUAUGCGAAACUGUAUAAACAUUAUUUGAUUAAUCUUUGUACACAAUUUCAUGGAUAACUUCUGGAUAAUGUAUAAUGGUCCAUAAGUUAUCGAAUAUUUGUUAAUUUUAAACAUAAUAGUUAUUGAAAUAAAUUUAUGAAUUUAAAAUAGAUUCAUUAUCUUUACAACUAUACAAAGACCUAUAGUUUUCUUGAUCAAAUAUUUUUCUAUAUAUAUCUUUUGUGCAAAUAUUUAUAUAUUUUUCUAAAAAUAUUACUCAUUUUGCCAAAUCCACGAUGCUUAUUUUUAGAAUUAAUUCAUUAUAUCCCUACUAUUUAUAAAUUUAAAAAAAAAUAUUACUAUUACUACUAAUUACUUAAAAAUCGAUUAUAAUAUUCGAUUCUUCCUAUUAUAAAUAUAUCCUAAAUUCUAAGUAAUGAUAAAUAAUUUUCUAAUUUUUCAAACUCAGCAUUCUUGCUCAUCCAUUCAUGCUCCAUAAAAACGUAAAACUUUACGAAUUUAUAUUUCCAUAUUUCCAAGUUUUCAACGAUUCUUGUCUCAUCCAUGGAUAAUUAUAGCAACACAAAUCGCAUCGUAGAAAGGCGAACGGUAACAAAAUCAAGCGUUAAGGCUAUAGAAAAGUUACUAGAUCCAAAAUGGCGAGCAACAGAUGGAAACUGAACGUUUCAACGAACACAUUGUUUAUAACCAUCACUGUCCAGUGAUACGUUACAAGCUGGCGCCAUACUUCUCCGUCCACGGAGCAAUUUUAGCAAAGCAUCAUAGGGGCCAAUGGAACGAAGAAGAUGGAAUGUUGGCACAGGGCCGAGAGGCGAAGGUUACGCGUUUCCUCCAUGUGUCCUCGGUCCGUGAUGCGAAACAAGCCGAGGACGGAAACAUCGGCUUACUUUGCUUGUUUUUGAAAACGACUAUGGAAAAUUUCUGACUGGAGUACAUCUGUUGCUCGCGUGUUCUUCAACGUCGAUCCAGCUUUAUGCAAUCCCUCUUGAUAUUUCUGACGAUAAGAGAUCUGUGCAAAUUUCUCUUCGAGGUGAGGCGAAAAGAUGAAGACGAAGAGCGUAAGACAACGAAAUUGAAAUGUGGAAUUGCAUUGUUGUUUGUUAAUCAUACUUAUCGAUACGGUGAGUCAUCAAGAUGGAUAAAUUGAUUAAUCCGUGUGUUGAGUCUACGUAAAGAAAGGUAGGUACAUAAGUACGAUUAAUUUUAAUUUUAACAAUCACAGAAAAGUCAUCGUGAGAGAAAAGUUUUUCUUUUUUUACUUUUCUUACUCGAUUAUUAUAUCAAAAUGUUAUAGAGAAAUAAUAACACUGUCAAUAACAGCAAUCAUAUCAAAUAUCACGUGUGUUUAUUGUAACAUUAAACUGGGAAUUAUGUGUACGGCUGAAUGAACAAUAAUUUUAGCCCGGCCGUACGAUCGCUAUUCAUAAAAAUACGAUAAACGAGGCAUGAUACGCAUGAUUGAUGGAGAACAUCGACCUCCUGCCAGAACCACCCACAACUCAAUCUUUUUCUGAAAAAAAGUGGAUAAUAAUUCUUGAAGAUUCUUCAUAAAAUACAUUUAUGAUUCCAAAAUCCAGAAUUCUAUUUUUAGAGGAAAGAAUGACUGAAUGAGUAAAUACGUUAUAUCGAAUGAUAAAUUUUCUCUAGAGUUUCAAAGUUUGGAAAUCUGAAAGAAAAAAACGAUCGAAUUGCCAAGAUCAUCGACAGAUUUUUCUUCAAUUUAGAAGGAUCAAUUUUAGAUAAACAAUUACUCGACCUGUUUUCAUUUCCAUUGUCACUGACGUCAAUGGAUUCUCCGUUGAAAAUAAUCUUGGCACAUUUGCAAUAUAAUAUUUUUUUUUAUUUUUACGAUAGUUUAAGAGAAAGAAAAAAAUAGAAAAAAAUCUCGACUAAAAAAAACAAAAAGUAGAAAAUUCGAACGAGUUCCAAUUACUUUCAACUUCGGUGACUACUUAUAAAUAUAUCCAAUAAUUGCUCAUUCGUUAAUUAAUGGAAAAAAUGAUAAUUACGAUCACGAGAAAGAGAGAGAUAAAGAAACCGAACCAGUAAUUAUUCUUAUACAAUUUUCUUACCACAAUUUUUUUACUGAUAAAGUCGCUUGUUUAUUUUCAAUCCAACCCGUGAUUGUAAAAUUAUAAAAUCAUUCAAAAUUCAUCGAAUUGGAAAAUAGGCAGCAAUUGCUAUUAGCUUUCAAAAAUAGCGAUUGAUUCAUACAGCUGCUAUUGUGACCGACCCGGGUAUCAUUCACGACCGAUGAACAUCUCUAUUUGGCAAACGAUACCACAUCGGAGGAGCGGAAGAACGUGACGUGGAUGAACCGUGAAGGCGACCUUCCGGAAAUAAAUCGGUCACCGGGCAGCUGAUAUCAUCCGAGAAAUAUUCUCUUUCAUAUCGACUUUCCCGGAACGGAGGAGGAUCAUCUAUGAUCGAGUUUCUUAGCUUAGAAACGCGUCGAUCGGACACGAAGUGGAUUAUUUUUAAACGUACAUUUGGUUAUAAGCAAACGCUCGUUAUUUUCGACUCGUACACGUUUCUGAUGCCCGGUGAGAUAUUGGUGCAAAAAUUUUGUAAAUUAGUAAUAAUGUAGAUUUAAGCAAAUUGAUCAAACUUUUGAUACAGCAACGAGCGAACAUUUCUUCUCGAAACGUAUCUUCGGUGAUAGUGUUUAUGGUGGCGAAAUGUUAUGGCUGGGAAUAGUGAUUGGUCUAAAAAACCAGACAACGAGCGGAAUCCGGAGAGUUGAGAGGGUGUGCGUUUAAUAUUCGAGCGACACAGAGAAAAUCAUUGAAAAAUUAUCGUUGGAAAAUAAUUUCGAUCGAAUACGAAGCGGCAAAGCGAACAAUCGCAGAGAGGAAACGCUGAAACGUGGGCUAGGCGUUAACAUCGCGUGACAGUGGUGCACCGAGUAUACCCGAAUAGAGGAGGGUGUGGCAUGGUGUAAAAUAGAAG